UAUGACACUACUACUAUGUUACUUUGCACUAUGAAGGUAGUAACUUAGACUAGUGUCAUAUGCAUGACACUAGUAUAAGUUACUUCCCACUAUGAUUCCAAUAUGAACUACAUACGAGGCAAAAUGAAUGCACAUCAAACAAAGUAGAAUAAUGUACAAACCUUGAGAAAUUGAUCGAGCAUAGUAAUCCAACGAAUGGCAAUCGUCAGCUGCCAUCCGAGCAUCGCUGAAUGCCCAAGUUGAAUCAAGUACUCCAGUAGCAGUCUAGCCAGUCUAAUUGGCUUCUACGGCUGCCAAUAAGAUCCCUUUUUUUUACAAUUUUAUCGGAAGAACUCUUAGCUGCUAAUUUCUCCUCAAUGUAAAAUGUAAAUUAACAUCCAAAGACGAAGCAAUUCCCCUCCCAUUUUACUUUGUAGCAAAUAUUAACAAUUUCAGUGGUAUGAGAUCUUCACCAUGUAUUUGUUUUCGCAUUGCUUUCUGCUUAGUUUAGGAAAUGCCAGCAGCACUGGAUCUUCAAAAAAUAAAUAGUUUGAGAUCUCAAAGCAACCGGCUUAAAAGUGAUUCUUUUUUCGGGGAAAAUCCGAAGAAGAAACGAAGCACCCAUCAAGCUCUCUCAGAGUUUAUUGACUCUUGGCCGUCGGAUCUGUUUCCUCAUGUGAUUUCGGCUGUCAGAUCUCGCUCCCGAUCGAUCUCUGCCGUCGAAUCAAAACUAAGACCGUUGCAAUGAACUGUUUGCGCCCCGGUCGUGCCACCGCGCGUAAAUAGCCUGCCCCGCCGAGGGCAUUCUUGUCAUUUCACCCAUAUGCGUAUAAACGCCCAUGGUGAACCCUAGCCGCCUCGUCCUCUCUCCUCCCACGUGCCACCUCUCCCUCCCUCUCUCUCGUUCCCCUCCCCUCCCCUUCCCUCCCGCGCGCCUCCUCUCCUCCCGCCCAUAUCGCCGCCGUCGCUGCCGCCGCCCCCCGCCACCUCGAACCACGCCGUCGGCAUCCAUCCACUGCUCCGGUAGCGGCCAGAUGCGCCGCAACAGAGCCCCCCAGCCCUCCCUCUCUCUCACGCGUCUGCUCCACGUACGCCACCUGUUUCCGGCGAGCCCCGACAUCUCCGCCACCGCGCAGCACAACGCCGAGCUUGCCUCUCUCCGCUGCGUCCUCUCCUCCUGCCGGAUUCGCCGCUCACGGCCGCCGCUCACCCGUGACCCUGCCCCGUGGUUAGGGUUUCGGGUGUUCGUCACCGGUGGCCAUGGGGCUGCCCCUCCUCUCUGCCUCUGCAGAGGGGAGGAGCGGGGACGAGCCUCCUCCCAUUUACUCUCUGUGUGUGUGUUCAUCCGCUCGAGAACUGGAUCCCGAGGGUCAGAGGUGCAACCCUGCAGAGCUGCUGGAUCCCAAAAUUAAAGAUGUGAUUGGCCUGGCAGCAGCUCGGGCCUGCUGAAGAACGAAGACGCAACAACAGGGGGAGGGAGAGGGAGACGGGGAAGACCAUGUGCCGGUGUCGACGACGGUUCGCCAGCGAGCUGGUUGUUCAUCGCCUCUGACUUGGAGGAUGGCAGAGGCGGGGUCGUUCGUCACACGUCACCACCAAGCUGCUAUUAUGCCCAGAUCUCUGCUGCCAUCAGCGCUCCAUCUCUGGAGUCAUCCUGGUAUUUUACUUUGCAUGCUUCUUUUCUAUGGCUCUGUUCUCUUUGUGAUGUUCUCUGCUUGGAUUAAUGCUAAUUAUUAUGUGCAUUUUUGCAUAUCUAGCUCCUGAUGGGGGGCACAUUUUAUUCCCCUUUCAGUAUUGUGAAUGCUUGUGGUUGUAGAUUGACAUUAUUGAAGCAAGGACCCUGUGUAAAUAAAUGUUACGGGUGACCACAUGUGGGUAGGCUUGUUGGUUAGGAAAUAUGUAGCCUUAGUACCCCAGACCAAUAUAUUCAGUUAAUCGAUUUUUAAUCUGGAUACACCGAGCAAAGUUAUAUAUGCUAGCUCAGUUGUGUAUAAAUUUGUUUCUAUAAUAGUCAGAUCCAACCUUUGUAUUUGCUUUGCUUGUUGUACUUCGGUUAGAAGCAAAUAAUGUGAUGUUGUCCUGUUGUGAUAUCCACACUAUCAAUAUCAAAGUGUACAGGUCUAUUCCUUUUUUUUUAUCAUUUUCACUUAAUCUUCCUUGUCCUGUUAAAUUUUUAAACUGAGUAUUGUAUGAGGUUCGACACUCUUCCAGCUUGCUAUAUUUGUUAAACACAUACUGCAAUGGUGGGUGAUUCUGUAUUGUUGUUUAGUGCAGCAGCAACACUGAUGGCAGUUCUACCUGACAAUGUGUAGUAGUGUACUCAUUAGUUAGCCCACUUGUGCCGGAUAGUUUCUUGUUUUAUUGCUUGUGCACUGUCCUUGACAAAUGAAAUGUGCAGCAGGCUUUUGAUAUUUUAGUCCUCUGGCCUUGUAUGCAGUACUUUGCUAGACUAUUGCAGACAAAUUGAAACAACUGCAAAUGUGUAGCUCCAGAGUUAGGAGACUAGAAAUAAUUGAGCUUUUUUGCCAAAAAACUAGGAUUUUACAUCACUAAUUAGCCCUUCAUUCUUAUAUGCUUUUGCAUUUGCUGCAUUCCCGCUUUCAGGUCUUUUCAUUGUUUUCACACGUUAGCUCUAGGAUGCCAAGUGUAAUUCAAUUCAUAUGUACAUGUACUGUUUUCAGGUCGUUUCUUUGUCCUAUCUGUGCAUGUUUUGUUUGGUUACCCUCUGUAUACCAGUCAUUUUAGAACGAUGCAGGUUUUGUUCUUACAGAAAUAGACAUCGCGAGUGGAUUUCCUUUUACCUGAACACUUGCCGAAUUCAGUGCUCGGAGAAGUCUGCUAUGCCAACUUGUGGAUUCAGAACUUCAGAUCCUUAUUAUCAGAUCGUGUCACUCUUUCCAGUCCAAAACUGAUGAGCUCUAGAAAACGGAAUUGGCGAUGAUCAAUUUACAGUCAGUUAUCAAUUUGUGCGGUUCAUUAAAUAAUCAAGAUAACACAUGGAGGUCCAUUCUUCUUUGGGCCGGCAGCCUUCUCGCCAACGAAGGCAUUUCUACCCGGUCCUUUUCUUUUAGCCUGCUGCAGGGACCAAACACUAUACCUUCUUCUUCGGUCUUCAAUCUGUUUUCUUCUUCAAUGAAUCUGACCACGACAUCUUGCACGUACUGCACCGCUCCCAGAGGUGAACGGAGUCAUAAAAAUCAACUUAGCAUCAGACUACUGGGUGAACAGAGUUGUAGAAACCAGAACAGAGUCACACACUCUCAAUGGUGGCAAGUUAUUAUAUUAAAUCUUGCUAGACAGUUGCUCACAUGGGUACUAUGUAUGCAUGAUUUUUUAACUUGAAGAUUAGAGGAUUAUAAGAACUGAGAACAUUGCAUGGAAAUCAGCUUAGCACCAUAAUAAUGAGGUAGUGUAUCAUGCAGUCCGGUUUCCAUGGCGCGGCGGCUUGAAUUGACGCUCUCGGCCAUGGUGCGCCUGGAUCAGUCAGGUCGAUCGAGGGACAAGACUGGCAACCGCUCGUCCGUGCUGAUCUUCGACCGAGAUAGAGCACUGGAAGCAACCACAUCAUGAGAGGGUCAACGGACGACAAUCCGAUAUGUGUCACCGACAGUGAAGAAAGAACAAUCAUUCGAGCUAACCAUGAUGUGAGAGCGACAAGCAGUCGUAAACCAUUGCACAUCAGCAACAAAAGAGAGAAACACCACUAUGCUAAGAAGCGAAAGGUUCAGUCCGAUAGGACUUUGACACGGGGUAACAUGCCCAUCUCCUUUUCUCAUGGUUAACGAUGUUUUUUCCUAACCAUGGGCUAAAAAUCAUAUGCUACCGUGCAGGACCAUAUCCCAUUGGUUAUGACAGUUAGACCCAUUAGUCACAAUCUGUUCAGAAAGCAACAUCUAUAAAGAUAUUAUGUACUGGUGAUUUGAUCCAUUGUGCCACUCAUACUUCACCUAUUUGGAUCAUUUAGCUCGAGCAAUUUGCAUAAUCUUAUUCUUACAAUAACUGUAGAGUAUUCAUAUAUACAUAUAAAGUUAGUCAUGAUCCGCUUCUUGUAUGUUAUGUAGGUCCGACAUGUUCUAAACUUAAAAUAUGAAUGGGCAGUAUGAAUGACCUUUAGCGAACUAUUUCCCGUAAACUAAACAAAAGCUUGCCAUCUUUAGUAAUCAUGCAUAUACAUGUGCAUUAGUUUUUAUCAAAUAUUGUAGUAUGGUAUUAAUUUGGUUGGACUGGUCAACUGUGCUAGCAAUUCUUGCUGCAAUAUUCAUUCUAUAGUAUGUACUAGCUCUUAGACAAGAUAAUUGUUUAGCCCCUGGUUUCUUAGCUACUGGUUGGUCCUGUAAAGCUACAUCCUUGCUUUCUGAUAGUGUUAUUUGAAUCUAUAGCAGUGGGUAUGAAGAUCCGCUAAUUUGAGUUUUUUUCUGCCUUUAUUUAUCGUGCGAUGGCCACUGUCGGAGCUUUCACCCUUCACCGCCCCCUGUGGCCCAGCGAUUUGCGGCGGCUGCGGGGUCUUCCCCUGAUUUGGUGGUGGCGGGCAGGCGACAAAUAGCCCACAAACCUUUAGUUUUCCACCCUGGUUUCUUACCAGGCCAGACUGUGAACAAGUACUAUAGAGAGGAUAUCUCUAAAUCAAGUGGCCCGUGCACUAGAGAAAACCGCAGGUUUGUAUCCUGGUUAGACCGUGUAUAAUUGUAGCUGACACAGAGAUUAUACUGAAUUAGUCUGUGGAUGGAGACUUUGGGAUCAUAAUAUCUAACGAAAAAGUGCGAAAAAGAGUUAUAUCAGAGGUAUCUGUGGUGCUCACAGUGGUCGCCCAGAUCCCGAUGGAGAUGGUAGUCCCUGGUCAGGGCACGGAAUUGAUGCCGUCGACCCCGCCAUUUCCACUCCACCCCGAGGUAUCCGGAUCCUUACUUCAUGGGCUUCUUUACUUCAGACGAAAGGAUCCAUGCUAUAUGAAUAAACUGCUUUAAUUCAUGUUCUUUAGAAGUAUAUGCAAUCUUGGACUGGAUGCCAAAAUUUUCUUUUAUGUCAUCCUUUAACUGACUGCAAAUCAAUUUUCCGUUAUACCAAUGCUUCCUGAUAUGUUUGUGCUUUUCAGAUUCAUGUUCUUUAGUUAAAGUAUAGUAGCUACUAGCUACUGUAUAUGCAACACCGCAUUUUGAAUCAUCCAAUAAAAGUUACAUUCAUGUCCAGACUGUUUUAGAUAGUGGAUUGUAACAUUUGCAAACCCCUAAUGUAUACGAGGAAGUGUUUGUUCAUUAGUAUGGUAACAUGUGUUGUAGUGGCAAGGACCCUCCAGUGAGAUCAUCCAGUCUUGCAACAUGAAAUAUUUUCUCAUAAUUUUGAAAUUACAAAAUGUACUUAAUUGCAGAUGAUGUGCCUUAUGGAAGAACCGAGCACUCAUAUUUUGCACUUAGAAUUAGAACUAUACUUUGGUUGGUUUGAUUUAGUAAUAUUGCUUGAGGCAGCCUUUUGAAAAUAUAUGUAAGAAAACCCGAGUACUCAUUCAAAGUGUUUUUGUAUUAACAUUCAUAAUAUAUGUAGCUCUGCUACGUGUUGGUGGGUUUAGUUUUUAAUACCAUAGCUGAUGUUUUCUUUAUAUAGUAAGAUGGAACUAAACAUAUCCAAAGUAACAUUUAUAAUUACUCAACUCUGACAAGCUUCAACAACUUUAACUUUAUAAUACUCCCUCCGUCCCAAAAUCAAUAACUCUGCAAUUAACAUGGCAGGAACUUAGAAAGGAAAGGUCCUGGAAUGCAUCAAUAUAGGACUCGUUGUCCUUCUUUCUAGGAAGAAUAUUGGAGUCGUUCAAGUUUUAACUCAUAGAUAGAUGGCAUUUUAACCUUCGUUUCUAAAUAGUUUAGCUUGGAGCAAGUUGUGAUAGCGUGGCAUAGUUAGCAUCUAACCUUUUCACUCUUCCUAGCAAACCGUUGUUUGGCUAAGUUGCUGCUUUUUCUCAGCCCUUCUUAUAGCGUUGUUAGUUGCAGGUGAAGUUGAAGAUUGCUCCUUGUUGGAACAUGAUUAUAUUGGGAUAUCACAAUAUCUCUUAUUUAAUUAAUGCAUCUAUAUAUCUGAUAAAGGGUGGAAGACUCAGCCUUAUGCCUGGUGUUUUGUUCCACUCUUGCCGCCUUAGUUUCCGUCAUACUGGUGUUAUGUUCCUUGAUUUUGCCUUCCUUACGCGGUCGGGUUUAUGGGAACCCCUUGACAGUUCGCUUUGAAUAAAACUCCUCUAGCAAGGCCCAACCUUGGUUUUACAUUUGCCUAACAACCUACUAAUUUUCUCUUGGGAGUUAUAAACCCGAGGGUCAUCUUUAUUUUAACCCCCCCUCGGGCCAGUGCUUCUCGAAGUGUUGGUCCGAACCGGGCGAUAUCCGGCGCCCCCUGGGCAACCAGGAUCUAUG